UACGUAGGGGGCGAGCGUUAUCCGGAUUCAUUGGGCGUAAAGAGAACGCAGGCGGUCUUUUAAGUCUGAUGUGAAAGCCUUCGGCUUAGCCGGAGUAGUGCAUUGGAAACUGGGAGACUUGAGUGCAGAAGAGGAGAGUGGAACUCCAUAUGUAGCGGUGAAAUGCGUAGAUAUAUGGAAGAACACCAGUGGCGAAAGCGGCUCUCUGGCCUGUAACUGACACUGAGGCUCGAAGGCGUGGGGAGCAAACAGG
rnacentral:rRNA from 1 species